AUCCCCAGUUAACAGAAAAACUGGACUAGAGGUGUAACUUUAAAUGGUAGAAUGCCAGCAAUAAGAAAGCUAAGACAGUAAAAUGUCCUGAGUUGGAGCCCCAAUACACCUACACAUGAGAGAUGUAACAAUCAGCCUCACUCAUCAAAACGGAUGCUCCUCAUAACUACAAUUAAGAUAGCAUAAUCCCCAGACAUCCCUCUUGCCCUCUGCCAUAUCCUAUGUGGGGAAGAGCUGGGUCGUGUGUUCCACUCCAAAGCCACCCAUGCUGAUUCCAGACAUCAAGCCUUCAUCUGCAAGAACCAUUCAUAUUGUCCAGAAGCCACUUCAUUUGUGGUACUUUAGUUGUCUCGAGUUUUUAGAAUAUUUUAUACUUCUAUUUUUUUCUUCUCCUUUGUUAUAGCAGCAGCAGACUGAAUAGAAGACAGAUGCUGUUUGGGAGCUGUUGUUGAGAUGGGGUUUGCUGUUGCUCAAGUUGGUCUUAAACUUCUGAGCACAAAUGACCCCUCCUCUCUAAUUUCCAAGUGCUAGAAAAACAGGUGAAUAUAGCCAUGCCCAACUCUGGUGCUGGGGACUAAACCCAGGGCCAGUGUAGACUAAGCACAAGCUCUACCACCUAGCUAAAGAAGGUUGCUAUUCCUAACAUGUCAGGCUAAAACAGAUGACAAAAGACAUUAGUGAGUAUAUAAGAGAACAUUAGCAGGACAGUCUGACCUGCAGCAAAAUGUAAAAUGCAAUUCCAUCUCUAGAAAUGACUAUACUGACUGGUGUUGAUCCCGGGCACUGCCACCCCCGCCAAAUGUUUAAUGACAUGCCAGAUUCAUGACAAACUGACUUCUCCCACAAUGUGACUAAUUUGCAGGUACGCUAUUUUAUAUGCUACUAAGACAUAAUAAAAGUAUCAAACUAUGAUGUCUAUGAAUACUAGUUUUAGACCCAUUAAACAACGUUGUGCCUAAGAACUGAGAGUACUUGCCUAGCAUGCACGAAGCCCUGGGUUUGAUUCCUCAGUUCCACAUACACAGAAAAAGCCUGAUGUGGUGCUGUGGCUCAAGUGGUAGAAUGUUAGCCUUGAGCAAAAGAAGCCCAAGCCUGAGUUCAAGCCUCAGAGCAAACAAACAAACAAAAAUCUGACAAAAUAUAUUCAGUAACUUCAUUAAUUUCAUGCCAUAAAUCCCUACCUCCCCCUUGGAGAACGGGUUCUUGCUAGGUGCCUUAGGUGAGCGCCAUCUUCCCUUUUUACUUGAGCCAUUGUACUGACAGUGUGCGGCUCCUUACCCCUGGGCCAUCUGUACUUUACGUGCCACAUCAAAUUCUUCACCAAAGCAUUUAUCACAUGCAUGUUGGUCUCUACACUUGCUUGUCCGGCUUUCAGGGAAAAGCUUUUAUUGUUCACAACUAAAAGCCUAAUUCCUUUAAACCAUUUCAAGUCCAUAAAUAAAACAGGAUAUCCUAGUUCAAUCCCUGCCAGUAGGUAAAAGGCAUUCCCUUUGUCAUAUCCUGAUGGAUGGAAAAAAUUGAACAGACCUACAAUAAGCAAACUUAAAAAAAAAAUCUUGGACUAGGGGUGUGGCUUAAAUGGUGUAGCACCUUCCUAGGAAGUGAGAGGCCGAAUUUUAACCCCAAUAC